GGAGGGGAAGGCUCAGUGGCAGAGCGCGUGCUUAGCACGUACAAGGUCCUGGGUUCCACCCCCAGUCCCUCCA
rnacentral:tRNA from 1 species